AUUGACCGCUGGCGGCAGGCCUAACCCAUGCAAGUCGAGCGAGCGGCGGACGGGUGAGUAAUGUAUGGGGACUGCCCGAUAGAGGGGGAUAACUACUGGAAACGGUAGCUAAUACCGCAUACUAUCGGAUAACCCAUAUGGGAUUAGCUCUUAGGUGAGGUAAUGGCUCACCUAGGCGACGAUCCCUAGCUGGUCUGAGAGGAUGAUCAGCCACACGGGGACUGAGACACGGCCCCGACUCAUACGGAGGCAGCAGUGGGGAAUAUUGAACAAUGGGCGCAAGCCUGAUGCAGACAUGCCGCGUGUGUGGAGAAGGACCUAGGGUUGUAAAGUACUUGCAGUCGGGAGGCGUUACCGACAGAAGAAGCGCCGGCUAACUCCGUGCCAGCAGCCGCGGUAAUUC
rnacentral:rRNA from 1 species